CCUGGUGGCUUAAUGGUAAAGAAUCUGCCUGCAAUGCAGGAGUUCGAUCCCAGGUUCGAUCCCUGGGUCCAGAA
rnacentral:tRNA from 1 species